CGUCCGGUAGCUCAGUGGAAGAGCGCUGCGUUUGCAACGUAGAGGUCGGCGGUUCGAUUCCGCCCCGGACAA
rnacentral:tRNA from 1 species